rnacentral:rRNA from 1 species
GACAGAGGAUGCAAGCGUUAUCCGGAAUUAUUGGGCGUAAAGCGCGCGCAGGUGGUUUCUUAAGUCUGAUGUGAAAGCCCACGGCUCAACCGUGGAGGGUCAUUGGAAACUGGGAGACUUGAGUGCAGAAGAGGAAAGUGGAAUUCCAUGUGUAGCGGUGAAAUGCGUAGAGAUAUGGAGGAACACCAGUGGCGAAGGCGACUUUCUGGUCUGUAACUGACACUGAGGCGCGAAAGCGUGGGGAGCAAACAGG